ACAUGAGCAUCUCUAUAAAAAAAUAAGUUAUACAGUUAACACACAUAAUAGACCUUACUAUGCACAGGAGAGUAGAAGCCGUGAGUUAGCAGUUCAGCACCAGCGUCUUGUAGAGUCGGGAGCCGAUGAGCCCCUCCCUAUGCAGCACCAGUAGCUAGAACAUGCUCGUCUUCAUCCUACGGCGACCAACACAUCGCACAGCACCAGCAGCGGCUGCACGUGACUACAUGAGUUAAAAUCAGCAUGGCUCAUUAAAGUAGAAGCAUCGUUACCCCUCAUCAGAUAGCAAUAAAUAUUAUAUAUUUUCACUUAUAGAAAAAUAUCUAUUUAAGUUCACUGCUGAAUUAAACUAACACAGUCCAAGUGUUCUAAAAUGUUGGCUGAGUUAGAGAGCUUUAUUAUAGCUUGCUGAUUCAUACAGUUUUGUCGUUAAAACUUAUUUAGUAAAACUAGGAACACAUUACAUACAAUACAUCACGUAAGUUGUAAAUUGUUCAUCAAGUACCUCCCAUACUGCUGCUGCUACUCUCGAACUGACUAAGAAUGAAAUCUGAGAGGAGCUGUUACAACUACCAAGAAGGCAGUGGACUAUCAUUAGCACAUGGGCUAUCACCUGUAGGUCGUAGCCAUAUAUCAGGGGAGGUUUUUAGAGUUAAGACUUUAGUACUCAACUAGCUAGUAUAUUGCAUGUGCCUAUUGAAAAUGGUAACGUCACCGUGCUAAAACAACAACAAUUGAAAACAUGGAUUAUUUAACUAAAUAAUGAGCGAUGAGGACAGAGGCAUGAUUGUAAACAGAAAAAAUAAUUAUUCCAAUACAUGGGUUAUGCUUUUGGAAUUAGACAGAUAAACUAGAAAUACUCAGGCUCAAAGUUGAUACCUUUACCAAAGCAUUCUUUUUUUUGCACAUACAAAGUUUCUUUGUUCUUUACAUGUUAUAAACCCAUGUGCAAUGGUCCCAGAUCUUGUUAUAGUCGAGAAUUUGAGUAUUGGUUUACAGUAAUAUCAAUAUGGGAUUAGGAAUUCUAGCUAAUUUAAAAAGGUUGCACAGUUGCACAACAAAUAUAUGCACGAUGUCUUAUUAAGAUGUCAAAAUUUGAUGAUUAACAAUGGUACAUUCUGUCCACACAAAAGAAACAACAGAAGUAAAAUGUAGUGCAUCUAAAGAAAAAAGAAUGCUACAUUGAUUCUACUACAAAUUCCCUAUCAGAUUGUUCAGACAAUAUAAACUAAAACUGCAGUGAAAUGACCAAAUACAUACAUCCAACUGUUCAAUAUUUGCACUCUUGAAACAUAAAGGUGGUAAAACAAGGUACUGAAUAUUAUCAAAGAACAAGGUACUGAGUCAGUUUUGUAUGUAUAUACAUAACUAAUAAAUAAAAUAUGUAUAUGAUACCCUGUGCAAUCAUUGUCUUUGUGCCAAUUCCAACAUGCCUCAGACUAAUACAGAGCUCAAUGAAACAUGGCCUGCAUUGACACCAUGGCGUUCCAUAUGAGAAAAUAUCUAAACAGGAAUUCACAUUCAGGUCGAAAGAAUCUGUAAAAAAAGAGCGUGUCGUCUCCAGUGUCUGCCCCUCCAAUUCCCAAUCUAGCUAACAAACUAAGGAAUCUCCUUUUCUAAUCAUGAAAUUUUCAAGACAGACGUCACCGGAUCAGAUCAGCAAGAGACUAGGGUUCCCAAAGCGCGAUGCAGAGAGAAGCCAAGGGGCAAGCAAAAGAACCUGAUGGGACCGCAAGACGAGGCAAGAGGCCAGCGCCAUGGCUGGUGCGGCGAUGGGGGCGAUGCUAGGGCUGGGACCAACCGCCGUCGGAGGGGACACGUACUGCCCGCACGCCACCGAAGGGGCUCGGCCCCUGAGCUGCACGCAUCAUUGGAGGGGCCACGCCCUGCUCGCACGCUGCCGGAGGGCGCCCUAAGCCGCCUGCGCCGCCAUGGGGCGUGAACUGCUUGCGUGCGACUGGAGGGGCACCUGCAAGUUCGCGUUGUUCGGAUAGUGGUGAUGUCGUCGGGACUUGGAAGGUAGGAUUUGGCACCAGCGGCGGCGGCUUCUGAGUGGUGGAGUCGAGGACCACAGCUAGGGUU
rnacentral:lncRNA from 1 species